rnacentral:lncRNA from 1 species
UGGGAUACAAGUGGUUGAGCAGCAAACAGAGAAGCAGCAACUGAGUGUCCGAGACCACAGAUAGACACGGCUAACUUCAGAUGGUGCAGCUUCAGGGAAAGAUCACCUUCUUCCUGCACCAUCCCUUUUCCAAUUCUCCAUCCCACUGAAAACUGCUUUUAUUACCCAAUAAAAUCCUCCACACACACUACCCUUCAACCCAUUCAUGGGACCUCAUUCUUCCCAGAUGCUGGACGAGAACUCAGGUGCCGAGAGGGCAGGGGCUCGGAGGCUGCUGCGGGGCCCACACAGAGCCUGUUCUCACCAGAGAGAAGUGACCCCCGGUUCCAGUAUUCACUCACUCCAGUUCCCGCACUCGCUUGCUUGUGUAGCAGGACAAGCCGCAGACAAAACCCCUCAGACACCGAGUUAAAGAAGGAAGGGUUUUAUUCGGCUGGAAGGUUCAGCAAGACUCACGUCUCCAACAACUGAGCUCCCCAGGUGGUGAUUGACUGAUUCGUGCAUGUCCAUGCAAUUUGGCGCAUUCAGCUGCGUGCUUGCGGAUGUGGAUGUAUUUCACAGAAGCAGCAGCCUGCCUUCCCUUCCCUGGAUUCCAUCUGCUGUGCGAAACAAGAUCUGCAGUCAUUCCCAGGUACGUGGGACUUCUCUAGGCUAGAAGGUCUGUACAGCACAGACCAAGGAACUUCCUUCCUAUGAGGUUUAGUUUAGAAUACAGGAGAGUCAACUCUUUCCCAUGUUGUGACGUUUACCAUGUGCAAUUUACUGUCGGACAAGUUAACCAGACCUGCAUAAAGAAUAUCCAAAAAAUCUGAUCAACAUAGUCAGCUAAUCUAUAGCACUCAGAUCCAUAGUUCUUCCAACCUGUAUAGCCAAAGACUGGAAAUUUUUAUCCCAUUUUGUUCUUUUUCUGAUUU